AAGAAAAAAGAAAAAAUUAAGAUUAAUUAAUACUCAAAAUUAAUCAUUUAAUUUUUGUUAAUCUUACCAGGCAAGCCAGUGAAGUUCUUGUAUUGUUCAAAGCCUUGACGGAUUAACAUUUCCGUUCCAUAAACAAUUACAGCUCCGCUUUCUUUCGCUUCUCGUAAGAGUCUUGUGUCUUUAGGUGUGUAAAUCGCAUCAAACGCUAGGCAGUAAUGUUUUAAGACAUGCUGCAGCAUACAGAAAGGCUUAUUUAGCAGAUAGAUAAACGCUCAUGGCUCUGUCGGGCAACAACUUUCUAGAACUAACAUGUAGCUUAUAAUUAAAUUUUUUUGUCAUUUUAAAUUUAAUAGCUAAUUUCUUACUUAUGUAUAUAUAUAAUACGAGAGAGAGGUCAGUCAAACCUUUGGUAAUGGAGUAGCAUCAUAAUUCGGUUUCAUUCCAACAGAAGUUGUAUUUGCAAGAACCAUUCCGUCUUCUGGAUGGAAAUGCUCUGCUUCUGCUAGUGUCAUUGCUUGACCUCCAACUUUAUCGGCCAACUCCUUUGCUCGUUCUGUCAUAAUACAUAAUUUAUUUGAUUACGUUAUGUUACAUUUCGUCAUUAGUUCAUAUCUAAAUGCAGUAUCAUAUUCUCAUAUACCAUAUGUUCGAUUGGCGACUACAACUCUGGCUCCUUUUUGUGCAGCGCCAUAGGCAAGUGACUUACCAGCUCCGCCAGCUCCCAGAACCACAAAGAGUUUACCUUUUAAGGGCGAGGUUCCAGCAGGAACUGCACCAUUUAAUUCUGUACAUAACAAAACCAAGUUAGAUAGCCAUGGCAGAAAAUAACGAAAUCCCAUCAAAUAAUUAAAAAAAUGCUCUAAAAUCAUUUUCUGAAAACAGUUUCAACUACAAUACACACAAAAUCUCAGUUAGAUAUAUACCUCUUAGUCCAUCCUCAAUGGCAGAGAUGGCACCGAUAUAGUCAGUGUUAUAAGCCAUCAAGGUUCCAUCUGGUCUCCUGACAAUGUUGUUGAUAGCUCCAAUUUUCUGUAUAUAUUAAGUAAUGAUUCAAUAAUUAAUAUCCGUACAAAUAAUAGAGACAAGAUAUUUCUUUAUUUAAUUAAUUACCCUAGCAAUUGGGUCAAUCUCAUCCAUGCAUUUAAGUGCAACUUCCUUAUGAGGAAUAGUGCAACUGCAAGCCAAAAUGAAAUUUAGAUUAGCAGUUUACUCUAAUAUUUGUUUCUUUUUAUUGGGGUUUCGAACUUGUAAUAUCAUAGUCUUGGAGAUGACUGUAAUACCUGCAUCCAGAAGCAAAAUCAACAGAAGAAUAGGUGUUGAAAAAUUUCUCCACAUCAUCCACAAGAAAAUGCAUAUAAACUGCGUUAAGACCGACAGAUUUAAAAGCUGCAUUGAACAAGAGAGGACUCUUGCUAUGUCCAACAGGUUUCCCAAUAAUGCCAUAAACUUUGGUAUCAGGCCUUAUAAGUCUAAAGUUGUAUAAAUCCAGCAAAUCCUUUACAGUUGGUUGUCCAGGAGCUGAUAUAGCACCUGCCUCAAGAGCACCAUAAGUCAGGUACCCGCCAAACUUGGGGCUAAGCAACCGCGAAAUCUGUCCCCUCUCACCCAUAACAAUUCCAAUUACUGGAAUCUGUAAAGUUAAAUGAAAACAACUUAGAAUGAAUUAAUAAAACCAAAUAACUCAAGAAAUUAAUUAAAUAUUAUAAUUACCUGAGAGUGAACCAUGAUUCUGAAAAUGCGAGCACAGUCUGUAAUGUCUAAUGCAGUUGUUGCAAUCUUGAUAAUGUCAGCUCCAGUAGCUUGUAUUCUUGCAACAAGAUUGGCAAUGGCCUCAGCUGAUGGUGUAUUAUGAAAAUUGUGAGAAGAAACAAUGACUCUGAAGUUAUCAGGCUUCUUUCCGUAUAUUGAAUCUCCACUUAUGCAUGUUUCUCCAUGAGUUGCCUGAACAAUUCUUCUGGUGCUGUAAUUAAAAAAAGAAAAAAGAAAAAAUUAAGAUUAAUUAAUACUCAAAAUUAAUCAUUUAAUUUUUGUUAAUCUUACCAGGCAAGCCAGUGAAGUUCUUGUAUUGUUCAAAGCCUUGACGGAUUAACAUUUCCGUUCCAUAAACAAUUACAGCUCCGCUUUCUUUCGCUUCUCGUAAGAGUCUUGUGUCUUUAGGUGUGUAAAUCGCAUCAAACGCUAGGCAGUAAUGUUUUAAGACAUGCUGCAGCAUACAGAAAGGCUUAUUUAGCAGAUAGAUAAACGCUCAUGGCUCUGUCGGGCAACAACUUUCUAGAACUAACAUGUAGCUUAUAAUUAAAUUUUUUUGUCAUUUUAAAUUUAAUAGCUAAUUUCUUACUUAUGUAUAUAUAUAAUACGAGAGAGAGGUCAGUCAAACCUUU
rnacentral:lncRNA from 1 species